CCCCAGCACAGCAGAAAAUAGUUAUGUGUGUAUUGUCAGGAGACAAAAAUAAAUUGUCACCCUAACCCUUUUGUCCCCCAGUUAUCAGCUUUAAGCCUCAUAGAGUGAGCAGCACAUAGGGAAAACAUCGAGAGAACUCAGAAAUUCUACUGCACUGCUGUGGUUUGCUUUCAAACUUCUUUGGUGUCAUCAAACUGCCUUUUCUUCCCCCUGCAUUUCUAGUCUGCCAAACAUCUACUGUCCUCAGCAAGAAGAUGCCCAGGAAAUCAACAGGGGGGGACUGGAGGAGCAAUUUUCAAAAAUAAAACGUUUCUUGGUGGGGCUCUGGACAUACCACCCCAAAAUAUGACUGGAAGAGACCAGAAUAUGCCACCCCAAAAUAGGCCUCUUUGGCUAUUUUGAGCUGGUUAUUCUGAGAAACUGUAAACACAGGAGUAGCUCUGAAAAGCUGUCAUUUUAUAAAAGAAAUUUAUAUCUUUCACAUAAAAGAAGCACUUUGUGGCUUCUCUGUGGCAUAUUUGAGUUACCAGCAUCAUUACUCUUGUGUGUUGGGGCAAUUAUUAAGUAACAUAGGGUGACCUGAACACAAGCACUGUGAUGCCACCUCAGUUGGUCUGAUAACCCAGGUGGCCACACAGUAAAUAACGGGCGGGGAGCAUAGAUAGCACGGCUGUGCUGGAUAACGGAAGGAUCCACAUCCUGGGUGGGACGGAGCAGGACAGCACGAGAUUUUAUCACGCUGUUCAGAAUGGUGUACACUUUAAAACUUAGGAAUUGCCACAGAAUGCAAAACUUUGGAUAAGGGGGGAACUACUGUACUUUAAAUCAGGAUCAUUUACACAGAGACUCAAGCGUCCACUUAAGCUUUCAUGAAGUUGAGCCGAGAGUGAGAAAACAAAGCAGCUUUUCCAAAGGUAACCAGGGCCUUGACGUGGGUGGCGGGAAGGACACUGACUCCAAAACCUCAGUGCCUCUGGCCUUGGGACCAGAGCCCUGGCCAGGCCUCAGGGGCAGGGCCGAGGGGUGGAACUGAGCGAACCGUAUUCCCUGGUGUGUGCUCCUGGGCCCUGGUGACUGGGCUCCACCAGGAGCAGCUGAAAAGGAGCUGAGGUGCCCUGCGCUGGCUCAGGGGGAAGGGCCAUCAUCAGAGAACUUUCAGAGGGAAAAGAAGGCACAGUAACCAGGAAAGGUUCUUCCGGACUACAUUUAAGCCAGUGGGGCUCGGGUCUGUUUUAAGGAGACAGAGUGGGUAGGAUGACUCUGCAACCCCACUGUCAGGGUUUCAAGUUAACUGUCUCUGUGCAAGUUACCUAAUUUCUGUGUGACUCAGUCUCCUCAGAUGUAAAAUGGAGCAAAUAAUAGCAUUACCUCUCAGGGUUAUUGCAAGUAUUAAAUGACUUAAUGCAUCAGCCAAGACCAUGUAAAUGUUAUUGUUCUCGUUAUUCCUGAGAGAAGAGGCAGGUAUUUAAACGGACAAGAAUGGGCCUGGAUACUGUGUCCAGAGUUGAAGAACUAUUUGCCCACCAGACAGGAUGAGAACUGGGAAUGUGGAAGAAACCACAAGGUUAAGGAGACACAGUUGUGGUUUCUUUCCUGAGCACGUGGCAUCACUUUGCCCUGCAGCUUUGGCAGCUGUCACCCAGGUAGAGGCUGCCUGCCCUCAUGUCUCCUUAGCCUGUGAGUCAGCAUUCUGGGGGCUUUUAGUGAAGAUGCCAGCCACAGGCACAACAGAGCUUCCAAGAAGGCGUGGUGCCAGCGGGGAGAGAGCCAGAGUCUCGCCUAGGGCAGAGGGCUGUCUGCAGUGUGCUCAUUAGAAGAAGACAGUCCCUAUGAGAAAAGGUCGGAUUGUCCUGGUAAAGUCUCAGUCCUAACUUUAAAAUCCUUACCUCUCCGUCACAUAAAAGUCUGACUUAAAUUACAAAGGAGUAACAUUCUAGUGGAUUUGUGGAUUUCCCCCAGGUGAUAGUAUAUAAUUCAUAAGGAAGGACUGUUUGCCUACAAACAUCUCUUCCCAGAAACUCCAAGCUGCAGAGAAUUCUACGUUCACUGUCUGUUGAUUCACCAUCAUACCUGCCUAUGCCACUAUCCCUCCCUCCUAUGUCUGCUGGCUUGGCCCAGUCCCCCUGUGCUCCUGUGUCCAAGGUCAGACAAGUUUCUACUGUCAGAACAACAGAUAUUUCCCAGGCUUUUUUUUUUUUAUACCUUCAGAGAAUUUUUACCUCUAAUGGGAAAAAUGCUUCAUUCCAAACUAACUCCUCAUGUUUGCUUGCACUGCCAAGUGCCACCUGCUCUUAAGACUGGAAACGGGCAAGAGGAAAGGAGGGAAGCGUCUGCCUGCAUGCCCUGCUGACCCGCGAGCACAAAGCUACCUGGCCUGUUCAUGAAGUCACAGUGGCCUAGGCCUGCGAUGUCUAUCCUCUUCAUAAAGAGCACCAUGCUCGUUAGGUUGGCUUCCUGCAUUUCUGCUGGCUUGAGAGGCCUCAUGUCUUUGGAGGCAAAUUCUUCAGUGUAUAGACAGAACAGUUUUCCUAUGAGAAACCAAGAAAAACGGCUUUAAUAUUUCUGUGUUGCCUUCACAUGCGAAUUGACAUUUAGUUUCCGUGUCCACCGUGCUACCUGAAGAAGAUGAACCAAGGAUUUGCUUGCGGAUCUCUGCUUGGCUUUGGCUGAUGGGCUGCAUGACGACUCCCAUCUCCUUCCUUGCCAUAGCACUUGUAGAAUGGGAUUGGAUUAACUCAAGGGUUUGCAGGCGGUCUCGCAGACCUGGCGAGCAGUUUUCAAGUGCUUCCUCAUCUGCCGCGAGCUGGGUUCCACGCCAGCAGUCACACAGGUUAAAAGAUGGUUGAGUAACAAGGAACAACACACUAUAAACAUUGAGGGCUGUAAGUCUCAAUGAAGACGGGGCAGCCUGUGAAUGAUGGGGAUUAAGUCACAGCAGGGAGAUUUUUCAAUAGUUGGGGCCUCUUUCCUGCAACUCAAACCAAGAAUACAGGAGAAUAUCUGCUGACUCUAUGCUGAUUCGGAGGGAAUGUCAUGGUGGAAAAGAAGUGCUCCAAUGGAGAGGUGGAGUCUGUUUCCUCUCCCCUUGAAUCUGAGCUGAUCUGUAACUCACUGUGACCAAAAGAAUGCGGGAAAGUGACGCUGAAUCACUUCUAAGGUAUUCCCAUGCCUGAAACACCCCCCCUUGGAACCAGCUGUCAUCCUGUGAAACGCCCAAGCCCAGACCACUAGGAAGAAACCAAAGCUGAAUUUCCAGUCGACAGCAGCACAAGCCUCCAAAAUGUGAAUGAGCUGUCAAAGAUCCUCCAGCCCAGUGGAGCCUCCAGAUCACUGCAACCCCAGCCAGCACCACACUGGGCAGAGCAGCACCCACACAAGGCCACUGGACUCAAAGAAUCAUCAGAGAUAAUAAAUGGUUACUUUUGUAAGCUAGUAAUUUCCAGAGGGGUUUGUCUUACAGCAACAGAUAACUGAACUUUAACCUUCUUAAAUAAAAUACACUCAAAAUUUAAUGUCCUCUUCACGACUCAGGGAACUGCUACAUCACUUACCACAACAGAAUGAUGUCCUCACAUUUCCCUGAAGUGUACAGGGGCCAAAGACCAGACUGCUGCCGGGGAGCCCUGCCUUCCUCCAGGGGUUCACUAGCCACGUCACACGGUGGUCGGCAUGCUUACUCUGUGAGGCUCUCCCCUGCUUUUCUAACCUGCUCUCCUACCUGGACCAUCAGAAGCCAGACAGGCUUGUUUGACAGGAAUAUUUGCAAAGGUUGAGUCCACAAAGGACUCUACAUUGAAUCCGAUGAAUCCGAGGGGCAAAGCUAUGAAGUUCAUAGACUUCAGAACAUCUAUUUUGACUACUCAGAGGGACUUUUUGCUGACAGAUGGUUUGGAUUUCAGAUUUGGAGGGUGGAGUGGCUGAAACCCAACUAGAGGCUGAGUUUGGGGCCCACCGACUCCAAUGAUAUUUGCAUACCUCCACUCAUUCAUCCUGCAACUAGGGUGAACCAUCUUGAUUUUUUUUAAGAGGAAAUUAAAUAUA